rnacentral:rRNA from 1 species
GAUGAACGCUGGCGGCGUGCCUAAUACAUGCAAGUCGAGCGAACGGACGAGAAGCUUGCUUCUCUGAUGUUAGCGGCGGACGGGUGAGUAACACGUGGAUAACCUACCUAUAAGACUGGGAUAACUUCGGGAAACCGGAGCUAAUACCGGAUAAUAUUUUGAACCGCAUGGUUCAAAAGUGAAAGACGGUCUUGCUGUCACUUAUAGAUGGAUCCGCGCUGCAUUAGCUAGUUGGUAAGGUAACGGCUUACCAAGGCAACGAUGCAUAGCCGACCUGAGAGGGUGGUCGGCCACAUGGGAACUGAGACACGGCCCAGACUCCUACGCGGGGAAGCAGUAGGGAAUCUUCCGCAAUGGGCGAAUGCCUGAUGGAGCAACGCCGCGGGAGGGAUGAAGGUCUUCGGAUCGUAAAACUCUGUUAGUAGGAAAGAACAUAUGUGUAAGUAACUGUGCACAUCUUGACGGUACCUAAUCAGAAAGCCACGGCUAACUACGUG